rnacentral:rRNA from 1 species
GCAGGAAGAGAAAGAAAACUCGAUUCCCAUAGUAGCGGCGAGCGAAGUGGGAAGAGCCCAAACCGAGAAGCUUGCUUCUCGGGGGUGUAGGACUGGACAUUGGAGUUACCAAAGUUCGACGUAGUCGAAGUCAGCUGGAAAGCUGCGCCAUAGAAGGUGAAAGCCCUGUAAGCGAAACGGCGGACUCUCCGUCCAGGAUCC